rnacentral:tRNA from 1 species
UUAGCUCAGUGGUAGAGCAAAAUACUUCUAAUAUUUUGAUCCAAGUUCGAGUCUUGGA